UUCAUUUCAGACCCCUUUGAUAGUGACAGCGACCCAGAUGACCCUGAGCCUUUCCAUGGUUUUGAUGCCUCGCCCUAUUCAUCAGAUCUAGAUGUUCCCUCAUCAGUUGAUACGAGUAUCACCUCUCCAGAGCCCAAAUCAGUUGAUACGAGUAGUAUCACCUCUCCCAUUCCUUCAGACUCCCAAGCACCUGCCCAUCCCACUCCAUAGCCCAGCCACCCACUCUCAUGUACCAUAUGGCCAUCCCAGUAAGCAAGCCAACCACUAGAAUUUGACUGGCAUGCACCUGUGACUUACAUAAACCAGACCUCUACAUAGCCUACAUGUCUUCAUUUUGCUGAAGACUGCCCAUCAUCCUAGCCUGUUAUCUGUGAUAAAGCACACUGAAGUUAGGUUUGGAAUGCAUCCUUAUCAUGAAUGCUCUACACCUCCACCUCCAUCUCCCACAACCUAGGUAACAGCUUUGAGACUCACUAAAAGUUGAACCCCCUGAAUGAUGUAGGCUAUGGGGCCACAUAAGACUUUGUGCAUCCAGGGUUACAUAGCACGACAACUUUAAACUAAAAAACCCCCUGAAUGAUGUAGGCUAUGGGGCCACAUAAGACUUUGUGCAUCCAGGGUUACAUAGCACGACAACUAUAAACUAAAAAGCUACCAGACUGGGAUUUUAGUGUACUCCAGGAUCUACCAAAGGAUUAGUGUACUACUAUAGUAUACAGUGUAAUAGUGUUUAGUGUAUAAUCUAACCUAAGGAUUAAGUGUAGUACAUUGUGCUUUAUAGUGUCACAAGAGUUUAAUAAAGAAUUAUACCUUCAAGAACCAUCCUUUGCCAUUGAAAUAACCACACUACACAUCAUGCAAUACUUGCAUGUCACACAGGUAAGGUCUCUCUAACUUUUUCUUAGUUUAAGGCAUAUUUCCAAGUGUCGUUCCGGCUUACGACGAUUUUCGGCUUACGACGCGCCUCAAGAACGGAACCCCCGUCGUAACCCGGGGACUGCCUGUAU